rnacentral:rRNA from 1 species
CCUACGGGUGGCAGCAGUAGGGAAUUUUCGGCAAUGGGGGGAACCCUGACCGAGCAACGCCGCGUGAACGAAGAAGUUCUUCGUAAUGUAAAGUUCUUUUAACAGGGAAGAAAGAGAAAUUUGACGGUACCUGAUGUAUAAGCUCCGGCUAACUACGUGCCAGCAGCUGCGGAAAUACGUAGGGAGCGAGCGUUAGCCGGAAUUAUUGGGCGUAAAGGGUGCGUAGAUGGUAUAGUAAGUCUUUUGUAAAAAUGAUGGGCUCAACCCAGUAGGGCAAAAGAUACUGCAAAGCUAGAGUAUGACAGAGGAAAGUAGAACUACAUGUGUAGCGGUAAAAUGCGUAGAUAUAGGUAAGAACACCAGUGGCGAAGGCGGCUUGCUGGGUCGAUACUGACAUUGAGGCGCGAAAGCGUGGGGAGCAAACAGGAUUAGAUACCCUGGUAGUC